ACCGCCGCCUCCUGCUCAUGCCUCCUUGUCCUCGCGCCGCCGACGCACCAAUUCACGGAGUUGCUCCGUCGCCCCAACGUUGCCAGAUGCCGGCCACCACCUCCAUGAUCACCUGCCGCCACUACAACACGCCGCCAACUACACGAUCUUCGCCGUGCUAACGCUACGGCCGCAUGCCAUCCUGGGAGGAAGCGGCGGCCACAGGGGAGCCACAUGCCGGGGAGUGUGUGGCUACCACGGUGAUCUUGAUGCUUGGGAGAGGACGAUGCUGGACAUAUGCCGCUGACCACAAUGAGCUAGGCGGCCACUUACCUUAGAAGACCUUUGAUUCAGUACCUAGAUAGCUUGUUUUCAAAUCUUAUUACUGGUGGUCGCCACCAUUGAUUGCAAAAACUCUGAGGUCAAUCACGGUCCUUCUUUCCUGAGGGCACUAGUUAUCUAUGUUCAUGCACAUUGAAGUAGUGGAUGAUGUCAGUCCGAUAUACUGCAGUGCAAGGAAACAAAGUUCAGGUUUUCAGUUCAUCGAGUCAAAUGGAUGGACAGAUCGUGAAGCAGCUACCAUACGGUUUUUCAAGUUUUUGAAUGUUCAGGUGACGUUUAGUUUUGCUAUUGUUUAAAGCUUAGGAAAUUUUACACAUUGAGGUGGUCGAAAAUGGGACCAAAUACGGAGUGUCAGUCUAUGUGCCCGUCAAUCUCGUAUGUGGCUGUCGCACAUCAUAAGUUGAGGUGGUCGAAAAUGAAAUGUGGUCAUUGCUCAUCCCGUGCUAAGGUGGUAGUACAGUCGUGUUGUGUAAAAGGAGGGUUCACGUGUGUUGGAGGGCCGACAGGAUUUGUCGGAGACACAUGAAAGAGUUUGGACGAAAGAUAACUCAUACAAAAUCUUUA